rnacentral:precursor_RNA from 1 species
AUACCCCUGCAUUGAAUCUCCCCUUCUUCCAAGAGACGAGACCACUACAAAAAUAAAACUAAAAAAAUGCUGAUAAAACGAAAGACUCAUGGAAAAGCUAUCUCUGAGGGGAAUGAAGCCUGGUCCGAGAAACCAAAGAUCCGAGAUAGAUGUUCGCAUCAAGAUGAAUGCAUAAACCAUCAAAAAUCACACAUCCUAAGGGGCCUUGAACCAGACAACAUUCCACCUAGAAACAAUAGCUUCCUUCAAUCCCCUCUACCACUAGCAUUGUGUCAUUUGUUUCCCUUCCCGUCUAUGCCAAAGAAGCAGAGAGGCAAUGGAGCUAUGUAUAGAUUAAGGCUGCGUUCGGGUAACAUUGAGGGAGAUAACACCCCGUUUUCCAUGCGCACGCUUUCCAAACGACUAAACGGUGUGUUUUUUUGUAAAAAUUUCAUAUAGAAAAGUUGCUUUAAAAAUCAUAUUAAUCCAUUUUUAAAAUUUAAAAUAAUUAAUACUC